rnacentral:rRNA from 1 species
CUAUACUGUGAACUGCGAAUGGCUCAUUAAAUCAGUUAUCGUUUAUUUGAUAGUACCUUGCUACUUGGAUAACCGUGGUAAUUCUAGAGCUAAUACAUGCUAAAAACCCCGACUCACGGAGGGGUGUAUUUAUUAGAUAAAAAACCAAUGCCCUCCGGGGCUACUUGGUGAUUCAUGAUAACUUAACGAAUCGCAUGGCCUUGCGCCGGCGAUGGUUCAUUCAAAUUUCUGCCCUAUCAACUUUCGAUUGUAAGGUAUUGGCUUACAAUGGUAUCAACGGGUAACGGAGAAUUAGGGUUCGAUUCCGGAGAGGGAGCCUGAGAAACGGCUACCACAUCCAAGGAAGGCAGCAGGCGCGCAAAUUACCCAAUCCCGACGCGGGGAGGUAGUGACAAUAAAUACUGAUACAGGGCUCUUUUGGGUCUUGUAAUUGGAAUGAGUACAAUUUAAAUCCCUUAACGAGGAACAAUUGGAGGGCAAGUCUGGUGCCAGCAGCCGCGGUAAUUCCAGCUCCAAUAGCGUAUAUUAAAGUUGUUGCAGUUAAAAAGCUCGUAGUUGAACCUUGGGCCUGGCUGGCCGGUCCGCCUCACCGCGUGCACUGGUCCGGCCGGGCCUUUCCUCCUGGGGAUCCGCAUGCCCUUCACUGGGUGUGCCGGGGAACCAGGACUUUUACUUUGAAAAAAUUAGAGUGUUCAAAGCAGGCCUUUGCUCGAAUACAUUAGCAUGGAAUAAUAGAAUAGGACGUGCGUCCCUAUUUUGUUGGUUUCUAGGGACGCCGUAAUGAUUAAUAGGGAUAGUCGGGGGCAUCAGUAUUCAAUUGUCAGAGGUGAAAUUCUUGGAUUUAUUGAAGACUAACUACUGCGAAAGCAUUUGCCAAGGAUGUUUUCAUUAAUCAGUGAACGAAAGUUAGGGGAUCGAAGACGAUCAGAUACCGUCGUAGUCUUAACCGUAAACUAUGCCGACUAGGGAUCGGGCGAUGUUAUUAUC